rnacentral:rRNA from 1 species
AUCCUGGCUCAGAUUGAACGCUGGCGGCAGGCCUAACACAUGCAAGUCGAAUGGUAACAGGAAACAGCUUGCUGUUUCGCUGACGAGUGGCGGACGGGUGAGUAAUGUCUGGGAAACUGCCUGAUGGAGGGGGAUAACUACUGGAAACGGUAGCUAAUACCGCAUAACGUCGCAAGACCAAAGAGGGGGACCUUCGGGCCUCUUGCCAUCAGAUGUGCCCAGAUGGGAUUAGCUAGUAGGUGGGGUAACGGCUCACCUAGGCGACAAUCCCUAGCUGGUCUGAGAGGAUGACCAGCCACACUGGAACUGAGACACGGUCCAGACUCCUACGGGAGGCAGCAGUGGGGAAUAUUGCACAAUGGGCGCAAGCCUGAUGCAGCCAUGCCGCGUGUAUGAAGAAGGCCUUCGGGUUGUAAAGUACUUUCAGCGGGGAGGAAGGGAGUAAAGUUAAUACCUUUGCUCAUUGACGUUACCCGCAGAAGAAGCACCGGCUAACUCCGUG